rnacentral:rRNA from 1 species
UGGGGAAUAUUGCACAAUGGGCGCAAGCCUGAUGCAGCCAUGCCGCGUGUGUGAAGAAGGCCUUCGGGUUGUAAAGCACUUUCAGCGAGGAGGAAGGUGGUGAACUUAAUACGUUCAUCAAUUGACGUUACUCGCAGAAGAAGCACCGGCUAACUCCGUGCCAGCAGCCGCGGUAAUACGGAGGGUGCAAGCGUUAAUCGGAAUUACUGGGCGUAAAGCGCACGCAGGCGGUUUGUUAAGUCAGAUGUGAAAUCCCCCGGGCUCAACCUGGGAACUGCAUUUGAAACUGGCAAGCUAGAGUCUCGUAGAGGGGGGUAGAAUUCCAGGUGUAGCGGUGAAAUGCGUAGAGAUCUGGAGGAAUACCGGUGGCGAAGGCGGCCCCCUGGACGAAGACUGACGCUCAGGUGCGAAAGGCGUGGGGAGCAAACAGGAUUAGAUACCCCUGGUAGUCCACGCUGUAAACGAUGUCGAUUUUGGAGGUUGUGCCCUUGAGGCGUGGNUUCCGGAGCUAACGCGUUAAAUCGACCGCCUGGGGAGUACGG